rnacentral:rRNA from 1 species
AUGGCCGCCCGCAAUUCAUCUGCGCCCGCCGCACACCCGCUCCACCAGGAUUCCGUCGCCGCCCCCAACUCGCCCCUGCUCGCCGCCGACCCGCUCCACCAGGCUGCCGUGGCCAACCCCAACUCUCCCGUGCUCGCCGCCAACCCGGUCCACCAGGCCAGCGCGGCGGCGUCGUCGGGGAUGUACGGCGCUCCUGGGGCCCUCCCAACCGAGCAAGGGUCUUUGACGGUGCUGCCGCCGCCACAAGGCGCGCCUGUGAUGAAGACGGUCCAGGGCGUGAACACGGUGGUGCCGAUGCCCCUGUGGGAGCUGGUCAUGACCGUGCCCCUACAAGGCAGACCUGUGAUGGCACCUCUGCCUUUCCCCGCAGUCCUCCAUCCAUGA